rnacentral:rRNA from 1 species
CCGGCGACCGGCGCACGGGUGAGUAACACGUAUGCAACCUGCCUGCCACAGCCGGAUAAUCGGGAGAAAUUCCGUCUAAUACGGCAUAAUGCCGGGAGGGGACAUCCCCUGCCGGCCAAAGGGGGCGACCCCGGUCACGGAUGGGCAUGCGGCGCAUUAGGUAGUUGGUGGGGCAACGGCCCACCAAGCCGACGAUGCGUAGGGGUUCUGAGAGGAAGGUCCCCCACAUUGGAACUGAGACACGGUCCAAACUCCUACGGGAGGCAGCAG